UACGUAGGGUGCGAGCGUUGUCCGGAAUUAUUGGGCGUAAAGCGCGCGUAGGCGGCUACUUAAGUCGGAUGUGAAAGCCCCUGGCUCAACUGGGGAAGUGCACCCGAAACUGAGUGGCUUGAGUGCGAAAGAGGGUCGCGGAAUUCCCGGUGUAGAGGUGAAAUUCGUAGAUAUCGGGAGGAACACCGGUGGCGAAGGCGGCGACCUGGGUCGACACUGACGCUGAGGCGCGAAAGCGUGGGGAGCAAACAGG
rnacentral:rRNA from 1 species